AUGCUGAUUCAAGCAAGAAGAAGAAAAAGAAAUCAAAAAAGAAGGAUGCUGAAUAAACUAGAAUGGUUGCUGUUUCACCUGUUAUAUUUGUCAUGUUGCAGUUUUUGAUUGUGUUACAUUUUAGUUUUGCUUUGAACUUCUAACAGUUGCUGCACAUGUACUAUUGACUUUUGUUGAUUGCUUUUGGUUUAUUUAUUUAGAUGAAAUAUUUUGUCCUGCCAAGUUUCCCGGCAUGAUUAUAUAAUCUUAGUAGCUUAUGCACAGUUCUUGAUCUGUGAUUAUUAUUGGAAGGUUGAAACGGAAA
rnacentral:lncRNA from 1 species